UACGUAGGCAGCGAGCGUUGUUCGGAGUUACUGGGCGUAAAGCGUGCGUAGGCGGUUUUGUAAGUUUGGUGUGAAAUCUCCCGGCUCAACUGGGAGGGUGCGCCGAAAACUGCAAGGCUGGAGUAUGGGAGAGGUAGGCGGAAUUCCUGGUGUAGCGGUGAUAUGCGUAGAUAUCGGGAGGAACACCUGUGGCGAAGGCGGCUUUCUGGGCCUUACCUGACGCUGAGACGCGAAAGCGUGGGGAGCGAACCGG
rnacentral:rRNA from 1 species